AACGUCCCAGUUCGGAUUGCAGGCUGUAACCCGCCUGCAUGAAGCUGGAAUCGCUAGUAAUCGCGGAUCAGAAUGCCGCGGUGAAUACGUUCCCGGGUCUUGUACACGCCGCCCGUCACACCAUGGGAGUCGGUAACGCCCGAAGUCAGUGACCCAACCGAGAGGAGGGAGCUGCCGAAGGCGGGACUGGUAACUGGGGUGAAGUCGUAACAAGGUAGC
rnacentral:rRNA from 1 species